AGCUCACGGCCUUCUUCCUCUUCCCAGUGCCCACGACCUCCUGAGACUCUCCACUUCUCACAAGCCAUCAGCCCAUGUAAAGAUGGCUUUCAGCUGUUUCCUCAAGACUCCUGGUAACCUCUUGAAAAAGCCGUAUUUAUUGUAUGUGUGUUUUAACAUUAUAAAUGUAAUCUGCAUUUGAUGCACAAAACCCAGAAGAGUAAAAAGAAGCGAAAACUCGUGACAGUCCCACUACCAAGGACACGCUCAUUGGCAAAACCCAACCAGAAGCCAGAGCAGAGAGCCUGGGCACUGUGUCCUAUAGAGGUUACAGAUCCAAGUUCACAGACCAAGGUCGAAAGACGUGGAAAAUGGGUCUCAUGGCAAGCGGAAGCACAGAGAAUUAGCCAGGAUAAAGACGAGAAGAAAAUUAAAAAUCCUUCAGAAGUCCACCAUCCAGAGCUCUCUGACGCAGUGGAGACAUGGAGAAUGUAAAGAACGGUGCCCUCGCGUGCCUGCCUAGGGGCUGUGCCAUCUGCAGGCUGUGACUUUCGUGUCAUAUCUGUGAAGACUCCCGUCCUGGGCUGCUGUGGAGCCUCAUUCUUCUCCACCCCCGUUUCCCAGGACAUGAAGAGAGGGGUGCCCAUGGACGCAGCACUCUGGAUGGUGUCCUGAUAUUUCGGACAGACAAUUGCUUGUUCAUGUUCACUCAGGAAGAGGAAGUCGAGUAUUGUGUAAUUAAACGGAAUCAGGAGAAUUUACGCUGAUAUUUGGUCAAAUCCUGUCACCAGCAGACAGACUAGCCUUUGUUGCUUCCCCGGAGUGGCCCUGGACACUCUCUCUCCCCCAUACUUUCUGGGGCUUUCUGUUCCAGUCUGCAAAAUUAACUCCUGCAAAUGAAACAAGAAACAAGAUCUGGACACUGCAAAUCCACCAACCGAGAUCAGAUAUGUCUUUUGAGGCAUGAAAGCAAAGAUUUUCUGUGAUUUUUCAGAGCCUUCCCAGUUGCAAGAUUUUCCUGGAAAUCCACAACUGAGUAGCAUUUUUAUUUGGUCAGCGCAAAUUCUGGAGACUUCAUCAGAGGACGCUGCAAGUGGCUAAUCUGGAGGAGCAACAAGUCACUGCUAUGGGAGCAGAUGUAGAGACUGACGCUGCAGGUUGAAGUGCUUGCUGUUACCAGCCUGUGGACCACCCAGGCCCCCUUUGCAGGCUUUGAAAAGCAAGAAGAAUUGAAGGUGACCCCGACCAGACACAGUUUCCUUUCCCUGUUCAUUGUGAAGACACUGAAUAUCUAACAACUGGACUUAGCAAAACAAAAGACAAACCACCUGCCAGUCACCAGGGUAUCUUGACGGACAUUCAGAAAGUCAGCUGGGCCUCAGUGCAGCAGCUGACCACUUUCCAACGUGGUCAUGUCGCUGGUAAAAAUUUUCGGGUGUCUUUCUCUUUGUCGAUGUCUGUAUUUCUUGAAAAGCUUUACAUGAAUUGAAUCGUAGUUUAAACUCAUCUGAGCUUUACCCGUUUAACCUAAAACGCCACUGGCCUCUGUUUCUCAGACUUUGACAUGCACACAAAUGACCUGGUGAUCUGUUAAAAUACAGUAUCUGACGGGGGGUGGGGUGUCUAAGAUUCUGCAUGUGUUCCACACGUUCUCAGGGGCAAGGUUAUGGUACGCCCUUGACAACCCAAAUCCAAAUUCCCCAAAUGGCACUGCAGUAACCCCUCGAUUUUAGUAGACAGGGCUGUUUCUUGCAUUUGUCAGGGGGAUAGAGAAUUGCUGUGUGAAGUACUGUUCUAAAUGCUGUGUGUUGUACAAAGAAUGGAAGCUUUCCCCCACAUGUGACUCAUGUGUUCCUUUAAGUUGGAUAUCUCAUGCCAAAGCUCAUCCUUCUUUCUCCCCAGCAAGUCUUAGGGUGCUGAAGAGCUAAUUCGCUACAUGGCGGCAGCUUUUUUAGGCCAAGUGCCCUCUGGAAAUUAUUUUGGCCAUGUCAUCUGUCCCCACUGAUGUACAGACAUCACCAGGAACUCUGGCGAGGAUGGCCAGAGGGAGGUAUGAAGUGGACCAAGCUGCGAACACCAGUUCUCCCACCCACAGACCCCCAAACCAGUUUCUCUCGGUUUCCUUUGUGGGGAACUUGCUGGAACCACUAAUUCAUCGUGAUGUUUAAGGCGCGUCGUCAAGCACAACAGGGUUAUUUUCAAAAACUGAACCGUUUUUGGUGAUCUUACAUGAGCCACAGAAUGUGAAAGUAGUCAUUUUUAUAAAGUGCCUGAAAAAGCCUAGUAAUUAUUGUUCCAAACAAGCCGGUCUUUCUCUUCAGUUUGUCUGACAUGGAAAGAAAAAGAAAAUCCCUUCCAAAUGAGCGGUCUUUUAGUGAGCUGUACUCGCCCUGGCUGGAUCCAGGUCAGCGGGGACGGGGGACCCCUGCUUUUCUCUCCAGCUGCAUCUUGUCCUGUGGUCCAAAAACACCCCUCCAAGCAGCUGUCUCUGGUGGGAGAGCAUGUUUACAAUCACGGCGCUCUGUGUUUUACAGUUUCCGAGAGGGGCAGUGGUGGGCAAGAACGGGAUUUAUUUUUUACUUACAUCUAAACAGUCAAUGAAAUAUUACUGUAAUCUCUUACUGAGCUCAUGGAAAAACUCAAGUCAUCGAAUGUUAGUUUUACAGAUGAGGGAAGUUUUACAGCAACAUUACCUGACUGGCUCCAAAGCCCGUAAAUCUUGCUACAGGGAGAGUUAGGCUGGGAAAGCAGGGCUCCCGGGCUCUUACACACGAGAUGCAUCUUCCCUAAAACUGCGAUGCAGCUAAUGCUCCAGCCCCGGGGGAAAUUUCAAGCCUGGGCUUGGAUCUCUUUGAGUGCUUCCUAAUGUCCUGUGCCAAGCAGUCAUGUUGAAACAGAGAAACGUUCUGCUUGAAAUUAAUUAAAAGAUCAUUUUCACAUGAUCGCUUCUAGAGUUGUUAAUCAGUGACCUCUAUUAUAUAAAACAGUUACUGGGGAGAAGUAAGCAACUCAUAUGCAUCGACCACUUGACUUGAGUUAUAUUAUAAUCUACCCUAAAUCCUAUGGGGUAGUUUUGAUUAUCAUCUCUAUGAGAUAAGUAGCAGUUGAAGCUCAGAGGAAUUGACCAGCUUGCCCAAGGCCACACAGCUUAUAAGGAGCUGGGAUUUGAAC